rnacentral:rRNA from 1 species
CCUACGGGUGGCUGCAGUCGAGAAUCUUCGGCAAUGGACGCAAGUCUGACCGAGCGACGCCGCGUGCGGGAUGAAGGCCUUCGGGUUGUAAACCGCUGUCAGUGGGGAGGAAGGCUUCGUGAAGAGCGAGGUUUGACCUAUCCGCAGAGGAAGUGAGGGCUAAGCUCGUGCCAGCAGCCGCGGUAAGACGAGCCUCACAAACGUUAUUCGGAAUUACUGGGCUUAAAGGGUGCGUCGGCGGGGUGGGUGGGAAAUCCCUCGGCUCAACCGAGGAAUUGCGCUCAAAACUACCGUGCUCGAGGGAGAUAGAGGAAUGCGGAACUUACGGUGGAGCGGUGAAAUGCGUUGAUAUCGUAGGGAACACCGGUGGCGAAAGCGGCAUUCUGGAUCUCUUCUGACGCUGAUGCACGAAAGCUAGGGUAGCAAACGGGAUUAGAUACCCCUGUAGUC